rnacentral:rRNA from 1 species
GCUUACGGCCACACUGCCUGGUUCACGCGAUCUCGUUUGAUCUCGGAAGCUAAGAUAGGUUGGGCCUGGUUAGUACUUGGAUGGGAGACCGCCUGGGAAUACCAGGUGCUGUAAGCU